AAAAAAGCGAUGAAGGGAAGAGUAGAUACAGGAUGUAGUUACAGCGAGCUGGUGACGGUGGAAGACCAGUACGAUGCCUGUAUUGAAGAACAUCCCUUAGCUCCCAACCGAAAUCUUUUUAGAGAGUAGACUUGGGCGGAGAACUCUACCGUUAAAAGGAGUACAGUAUCGAGCUCGUCUCUGUACUGAAAGAGGGCCUUUUGCCAAUUUGGGUGGUACCGCGGAAGUUAACCUUUCGUCCCAUUU
rnacentral:ncRNA from 1 species